GAAGUGGACUGCUGGAUUUACUGGAGCCAGGAGAUGGCUGCAUGGCAGACAAGGGUUUCACCAUCGAGAAGCCACUAGCUGAUCGUGGGGCAACGCUGAUUAUACCACCCUUCAAGAUGACAGUUCACUGAAGAUGCUCUGAAAACACAAGCAAUCGCUCGACUUUGAAUCCUUGUAGAAAGAGCAAUAGGCAGAGUCAAGGAAUACGGCAUCUGGGAACGCACUGUCCUUUCACCUUGUCUGCGACAGUCAACCAGCUGUGGACCGUCUGCUGUGUGAUGACCAACUUCCAGGGACCACUUGAUUUAAAAGGCUACAUCCCUGUUGAAUAGUGUUUCUACUCAAACAUGUACCUAUAAAUAUUAAAUAUAAUAUAUAAAUAUUAAAACAAGAGGCACUGAACAUUUGGAGUGGUCCCUUCAUUUUUUCCGGAGCUGUAAUUUUGUACACUGAAAACAUUGUAUAUAUUGAAUGACAUGUAUGUAAUUGAAUGAGAAGUCUUUCAUCUAUAAUCAAUUUUAAAGUCCAGUCAGUCCAUCCUGAAAGUAUUCAAAAUAAUGUUAAUAUAUAAUGUAGUAAAUGAUGUACUCAGAAAAAGGGAAUGAAUUAAAUCCUUUUAUUCUUUCA